GUCAAUCACACUGAUGAGCUCAUUACAUCCACCUGCCAGUGGGCGGAGUUUAUAAGGUAGCAAGCCAACAGUGCCUAAGGAAGGACAGAUGGUGAAGUGGGGACAGGGUUGUUGAAGGUGGCAGUGUUCAGAGGAUCUCCUCACUGUUGGAACACAAGAUGUUCCAGAUCAACAAUGGGAAACGCAUUUUUACAUUUUCCCUGUUCUAGAACAAAUUGACACUACACCCCUUUAAGCUGUGGAUGGACCGUGCACCUGAAGAGCAUCUGACCAGCAGAGGGAUGAAAUCAGCAGUCUGGCCACCAGUAAUUCAGAGACAGCCAUUUCAACAUGUGGCAAUCCUUAACCAGAUGUCAUUCUGUGGCCAGACCAUCACCAGCGUCCUUGAGGACAUGCAUAGAGACAGGCAAAUUUGUUUACAAAUGGACCAUUAUUAUUGAAAUCAAAGCUUUACUACACUUUUCUUUUGCAGCCACUCCAUCCAGCUGCUGAAGUUUUGUAAGUAAGAUGGGGAAAUCCAUACUGGUGAGGUCAUCAAGGUAGAGUAUGUCAUCUUCUCCAUGUGGUUGCACUGCAUGUGCCUGGACCAGUUAAGACUUCGCAUGACUAGUCUUCACAACUGUGGCCCAGGCACAUGCAGUGCAACCGCAUUGAUGACCAUCAGUAGGGAUUUCCCAUCUUAUGCCAAAGAUUCAGCAGCAUCUAUGUGGGAGACUGUUUUAAGGGCCCUGACUAAAUGUUUUAAAAGAGGGCUUGUUUUUUUUUUAAAGGUUUUUUCUCUUCAAUAAGGUUUUCUCAGAAUAUGAUGCACUUUGAGGCUAAAUGGGACUUUUAAUGACCACUGUUUUCUCUAAUCUAUUCAUAUUUCUUGCACAUCUGAGUCUCUCCUAGCCUAUGCUUACUAGUCACAUUAAUGUAGUAACAGCAUCAAACUCUGGGGGGAAAAAAAGCACAGUACAUAAGUGUAAUUGAAGCAUCUGUAUUUAUUUUUAGUCUCUGUUUCUUUGCAUCUUACCAUACCUUUUUACUCCACUAGAUUUGAUAACUUGAGUUUAUAGUUUAUUUUCAGAAUUAGACGAAUAAAGAAACUGUAUAACCCUAAGGAUAAUCACCAUGAGACUUGAGUCACCUCAAGUGAGACCUUUACAAGCUACUCACCAGAAGUUCAAAUUAUCCCUACCUUUACCAGCUACAACAUUAAAAUGAACACAAUGCACCAGAAAUUAUAAUCGAAUAAUAUACACUAACGUGAAACGCAUUCUAUUAUUCUGCACAGUGACUUACUUUUGGCAAAUUAGGUAUAUUUCGAUGCUAAUGCCUUUGCACUAUUAUUUAAACAUUUUGAAUGUAGCACACUUGCCUGUAACAGGGCAUCUCAGUAAAAAAGACGCCAGACGACAGGUUUAGACCUAACCGGGUCCUCAUCAGGACGGAAACAUACAGGUGCAAACAAUUUGUUAAAUUUCCAUGUUGAAGAAGACCCGGUGAGGUCCAAACCGGUCGGCGACGAUUAAUAAUAAAUAUAAAAGACACUUACAUUAGUAAGACAUCUAAAACUAGAGGAGUUAUUUAAUCUAGAAGACUACACAUUCAACACAAUUAGCCUGACAACUGACAGGCUCGAGCAAAGUCUGGAGGGCUAAUGUUACCCUUUAACAUUUUCUUGCUAGCAUGGCUAACGUCCUACAUUAGCAUUCGGCUAACGCUAGAUAAAAUAUACCACCUGAAAUAAAAAACAUAAAUGUGGACAACUGUAUUAACGGCGAACAACUGCGUGUUGCCUACAUAUAGAACGCAACACAUGAAAAUUUUACUGUGAUUUUCUACAACUUUCUAAUACGACCCACUGAGUAGCACCACAGCUACCGCUGUCGUACAUAGUCCACCUCCACUACAAUCAAACUUAACAAAACCGGUACUAGAGACUAACUUAAAGAACCGAGCUACCACCUGAUUGGACAGCUUGACUCUGCUCUGUGAUUGGACCGUCACUGUCCAAUCAAAUUCAGGUGUGAUUCACACUAAACCUCAGUACAGAUGUUCACAAAACAUUCAUGUGUUCAGUGUGUUUGUGUAACAUAAUUUGUUUACAGGGUUUACUCACACGUUCAAAAACGUUUUUAUGUACAAAUCUUUCCUACACAUGCUCACAAAAAUUGUGACCAUGUACAUACAUUGCUGUUUGUACCAUUAAAUUGCCAUUCAUUUGACUAGCAGGCAGUAAUGGGUCCUCCUUGUUAAGAUUGGUGUAUGCUGUGUGCCACCACUAAAGGGCAGCCUUACUGUGUGCUGAGAAAGUUACAAGACAUGUUUUAGGCUUUUAGGCAAAACUGUGGCUUUUUCUAUUUAUUUUUACACUAUAAUAUAGUGUCUUUAUCUUUCUAUUCGCUUGCAUAGUCUGAAAUUCCUCUAUGCUGUAUAAACCUUUUAGUGUGCACCCCAAGGUUUUCACUGGUCCCAUCUGGGCCCCCUACUAAAUAUUUUCUGCAGGCGCCACUGUCCCCAGUAUACUGUGCUCAUUAGACAGAUCACGUAACAUUUUAUGGUAUGUUGUCAGAGUCAGAGCAGAUAUGGAAAAGCCAGAGUCCACUGCUGGUUUUCACUGUGAAUGUCAGCAAAGCUGUGUGUCAUUUCUUGUAUUUGAAGAGCAUGUUUUAACUUUUAGCUGGAUUGAUUUACAUCAGAAAAUAAUUGAUUGUAUCUUUGCCAUUUGGAAAUAGGCUUAUUCACACUCUUGCUUAGUUAUACAAGAGUUAUACUUUCAUGUCUGUACAGUAAAUAUGAAGCUGGAUUCAGGAGGAAACUAUGUACCAAAAACAUUAAAAGCAACAAGUUGUGUAGUUGAUGAAUACUGCUUAAUUUAACUGUAGUAAACAAAUUUGCUUACUUAUUCCACUACUGCCCUUUAUGUUAAUGAAA